GCCGGUUUGGCUCAGUGGAUAGAGCGUUGGUCUGUGGAACAAAGGGUCCCUGGUUCGAUUCCUGUAAAGGGCA
rfam:Myotis brandtii contig282932, whole genome shotgun sequence.